GGAGUACACGAGCGGCGAACGGGUGAGUAACACGUGAGCAACCUGCCCUUCUCAUCGGAAUAAGCGUUGGAAACGACGUCUAAUGCCGAAUACGACCUCAGAAGGCAUCUUCAGAGGUGGAAAGCUCCGGCGGAGAAGGAUGGGCUCGCGGCCUAUCAGCUUGUUGGUGGGGUAACGGCCCACCAAGGCGACGACGGGUAGCCGGCCUGAGAGGGUGACCGGCCACACUGGGACUGAGACACGGCCCAGACUCCUACGGGAGGCAGCAGUGGGGAAUAUUGGACAAUGGGCGAAAGCCUGAUCCAGCAACGCCGCGUGAGGGAUGACGGCCUUCGGGUUGUAAACCUCUUUCAGCACCGACGAAGCGAAAGUGACGGUAGGUGCAGAAGAAGGACCGGCCAACUACGUGCCAGCAGCCGCGGUAAUACGUAGGGUCCGAGCGUUGUCCGGAAUUAUUGGGCGUAAAGGGCUCGUAGGCGGUUUGUCGCGUCGGGAGUGAAAACUCAGGGCUCAACCCUGAGCGUGCUUCCGAUACGGGCAGACUAGAGGUAUGCAGGGGAGAACGGAAUUCCUGGUGUAGCGGUGGAAUGCGCAGAUAUC
rnacentral:rRNA from 1 species